UUUGUCCAGUUGUCUAUAGUUUUGUGUAUACAAAGUGAAUUGUUUACAGUGAUGCUUGGUGGUUUUUGGAACGAAGAAAUUUUUAGUGACAUACGAAUGAUGAUUGCCGUUAUUCUUCAUUUAUGCAGUGGCAGUGGAAAUUGUUUUCAGUUCUUCAGAAAGCGUUGGCGUCUCUGCGAAUGUUAAGCCUGUGGGCGUGCAGCCAUAACCUGGCUGAGAAUUCUUUUAGUGUCAGGGAUUACGAACUACUUAAUGGUUACGAAAGUAAACGAAUCUGUCCAUACGGAUGCAUAAGAUUAAAACUGUGCGCCGGACCGAGACUCGAACUCGAGACCUUUGCCUAUCGUGGGCAAGUACUCUACCAUCUACAGCAAAGAAGGGGCCAGAGAAAUGUUUUGCAAGCAGCAGCACUCUUCAAGGCUGAAUGAUUUAACUGUACAAUCUGAUGUGUAUGUAGAUUCCCCAGUGUUCACAGGUCCCAGCGCAUGGCAUCCGUCUCUACAGAGCUGCCACUACAUUGCUGGAUCUCUGCAACCUCAGUUUCAGAUAUCUUCAAAGUGUGCAGAACCUUUUGUUUGCACUAAUUGUGGCAAACAUUACCGCUUUAAGGGGAACUUGCAACGACAUGUGAAACAUGAGUGUGGCAAGUUGCCACAGUUUCAGUGUCCCUACUGCCCGAGGCAGAGCACUCAAAAGAGCAAUCUGAUUCGCCAUAUUAAAAAGUUUCAUCCUAUGGAACCGAUUGUAUAAAAUAGUGUACAUGUACUUCAGUAGUUGUUUUAUGAUUUGUUUCAAGUGUGAAACAAUACUGUUAACUAUUGUAGUACUGCUUGCAUAUGGUACUGUUGAACAGAACAUAGAUUGACUGAAUCUGGAAUGUUACUGCCAUAGUUGCUUUUGUAAUUAGAUGAAAUGAUAUUUGUUGUUAUUAAAGGCAGUGAUAAACUGCUCAGAUCAUCUGUUGUGGUUUUUUUCCGUAAAAUCCAGCUAUAUUUCAGUGCUAACAAAUCAACAACACAUCCAUCCCCCCCACCCCACCACCACCACACACCACACACACACACACAGCUUGUUUUUAUAGACAGAGAAAAAUAAUUUGUUGCAAGUCUUACACAACAAAUAAUUUGAAAGCAACCUUUGUCAACUUUUUUAAAUUGUGUUUUUAGUGUCUAAAUUAUUUCCGUUACAUCGAAUUCUAUGAUAAUUUCACUUUUUAUUGUAUGUAUAAGUAAAUUGGGUCAUUGUAUUUGCAUUGGUGAACUAGUCGUAUUUUGACACUGUAUGAUGAGAAAUUAGGGUUUUUGGAAAGAAAAGAAAAGGUUGAGAUUGUGCUGUUUGAGUAUACAGAUUCCUGAGAUAGAAGGAUAUGCGUCCAUUUCUUAAUCACGCACUAACCAUUGGGACAACCUUUGCUAUUCAGUCAGUCACAUAGCCAUGAACAUGCUCAUUUAAAAAUAUUAUGAAGAUGGGAAAGCAAAUUAGCUCUCAGCUGUGAGACAUGGUUACAAAUAGUACAAGAAUUCUAAGUGUUCUAAGAUUUGACUGACUUGUUGAAGUUUUUGAUGUAAAUAUGCAUUUAGAAAUUAUGUUACAGGUCUUUUAUUUGAAGAUCAAACACAGUAUGUAAUAAGUGUUGUUGCCAGUAAAAUUAGGAAACUGUUAAAAAGUGCAUGUGAGGUAUUGGUAGAACAAGUUUUAGUAUUAGACAUUCUCUUUUCGCUUGUAAUGUGAUUGGCUCCGAGGAGCAGAUUAUAUAUGAAAAUAGGAAAAAUGUACAGUUAGUUACCAACUUCAAAAACAUAUAUUGGCUACCAUCUGACAAAGAUGCCGGGGUACUUGGAAGUAUAGGGUUUAUCAAAAUUGUCUUAGGUCCAUAUGGUUGUAUUUUAAUACACAUUUUAAUGUUAAUACCAUAUAUCCGAAUUAUUUCUCUGUAAUUUAAACUCUAUUGUUACAGGUUGCUAACAAGUAUGUCAUCAUGCCUCAGACUAUGUCUUGUUCUGCAGUUCGUAGUAAUUGCCAGCAGGAUUAGCAUAUGUUUCAUAAAUAUUCACAACAAGACAGAAUAGGUUUUUCUCCUGUACAUUUGUUUUUGCAGUGUAUGUGAUAAAAAACUGAAUUAUAUCAGUCCGUGUGAAUUGAUUUUUCUGUGAUACAUGGCCACUAUAUAAGAAUUAUUUGUAUAGCUUUCUGGUAAUCAAUGAUGAUAGUUAAUGGACGACUUUUAGUAUAGGGUGUUGACGUUUCUGACUGAGUAGCAUUUUAUAUGUCCCGCUGUGUCUAUUUUUAUUACACUUUGGGGGUGAUGUUUGUUCAUCUGUGUUUCUACCUUGAUAACUGACAAAACAUAAUGCUGCUUGAUAAUGAUCUUUGUUGUUUUUAGACAUUUCUUUAGCAAGCCAGCUGCGAGAACUGAACCAAUUCUGUAAUCAUAAGGUAUUUAUUAUUCAUUGUGUGAACUGUCGAUAUCUGUAUCAGCUGAAAUAUAAUUUGUGUUAAAGUAAUUCUACAGUUACCUCUUCAUAUCUUGAAAUAUUGUAUACGGUUGUCAACACUCAAAAUAUAUUGUUCAGUUAGCUGUGUAUUGUUGUUUCCAGAGUAAGCUACACCAUUAUGUAACGAUAAUUGUAAGACAAAACAAUUGCAAUCAUUGUUGCACAACUGCAUUCUCUCCUCCACAUUUCACUUUAAUAAAAGGCUGCUAAUUAUUGUACUGUUCAUUACUGAGAGAGAGAGAGAGAGAGAGAGAGAGAGAGAGAGAGAGAGAGGGCUGCCUACAAACAUAUAUUGAUACUAAAAGAUAAUAUUAUUAAUGCUGGUCCAGUGAAAUGUUGAGGAUUCUAUUUUUUCAAAACCUGUACUUUGAGACAGUGAUCCACUGGAUUAACCAAUUUUUAUCUGGAAAAGUAAAUAAAUGAACAUAAACACAUUAUUUUAUUCUUGUGAAGACUGCCUUUUCAGAUGCAUGAAGUUUCAAAAGUUGUUUAUGGAAUUUUUGGUCUGCAAAUUUUCAGGGGAUUAUCCAUAGUGGAACAUCAAGUAGUUUAGUGAAUUAUUUUUGCUAUUGUACUUUAAGGUACUUUUGUGUUCAGUAUAAAGAGGUAUUUUUUUAUUUAAUUCUUGUGCACAGACAUUUCAUGUGCCUUUUACGGAAACUAAACUGUCCUCUGUAAUAUUCUAAAAUCUUUUAUUAUCAGCAGGAGGGCCUUAAGGAUUUUUUAAGAUAAAUUCUUUUCAUUACAAUUUAAUAACUGGCACCGAUACUUCUGUUCUUAUGUCAGUGCAAAAGAAGAAGUUUAAUUUUUUUCAUUACAAUUUAAUAAGUGAUACUAAUACUUUUCUUCUUAUGUCAAUGCAAAGAAAGAAAGGUGGGUAGUUUGUUUAUUUAAAGAGACAUGGGUGGUGUGGACAUGGAGCAUGGUACGCUAGGGUUGUGUUCAAAGUGUAGUUACCUAUUGAUUUUGUAACAACUCAGUAGUUCUCGUUGUCAAGAGCUUUAAAGUUCAAGAAACUUUUCUCUACUGAAAGGUAAUGUCAUUACACUAAGUGUUGUACAUUUCAUAACACACCAACUUUGAUUUGGCUUACUGCAAGUAAGUAAGUAAGUUAAGUUGCUCAUUUCACAAGAAAAAAAAAAUUGUUUCGCCAAUGAAUUAUCUAGAAAUCAUCAGAACUUGUUCUUUUUAUUAUCUAUGGGUGAGAGACAUUAAGGCUCAUCUUCAUUGGUAACAGCUCAAGCAAUUUGCAAAAUACAUAUCUUUUUACAUUAUUAUGAGUCUGGUUAAUCUUGUACCUAAUUUCUGAUUAACGUAGUUAAUUAUGUGGUUUGCAGACUCAACCAGUGAUGACGUCAAAUCUUGGGUUGGUUGGUCUACGACAAGAGGUAAAGAACUUUCCAGUCCAGCAUCAGAGGAUAAAUCUUCACUCCGUGCAUUGCGAUCGAGAGGUGUUUUUCCAUGUCCAAAAUGUGGACGGACAUAUGUUCGAAAGGAUUCGUUGAAGAGGCAUCUUCAGUGGGAAUGUGGCAAGGAGCCUACCUUUCAGUGCCCAUUUUGUCCCCAGCGAUGUAAGCGCAAGUCGCACCAGAUUCGUCACAUACGAAGACAGCAUAAAGACUUGGUGGAUGUGAUUGAAGACCUCUCAGAUUCUUAAGUCAUAAUCAUUUGCGCGGUGGACACCAGGUAUUGAGAUUUGUUGUUCUAGAAGUGUAUAGCAUCAUAGUAAGACUGUUACCUUAAUUUUUCAUGCAUCAUUGUCUCACAUAAAGGGCACAUGCCAAUAAAUGGGACAGAAACUGUGAGAAAUGUUAAUAAUGAAGAAUGUAUGUUUAUUGACAUUUGAAAGAGAUUAUACAUGUUUGAUAAAAACCGUCCUGAUUCAUAAAGUUACAUUUCAAUCAA